CCACCCGCGAGCACACGCGCAGCGCCCGAGGCGCGGGCCCAGGGGGCCCCCAAGGGCCGCCCGACCGCCGACCCUGGCCCCCUUCCGCUCGGACCCUGGCGGCCCGGUUGGCACCUAUACCCUUCCCCACCUCUCUCCCCUUCCUUUCACUUUCUCACCCUCCUCUCACCCUUUCCCAUGUUUGUUCCUCAGUAAAACCAGGCCUUCGUUACCAGCAUAAAAAACCGUCAGUUUUGAAACACUCUUCAGCUAUUUCAGUCAACACAGACCACUUCCUUCUCUCAACUAUCAGCAUGAACUUCAUGUUUACUCAGGGGACGCGGGUUCGAGCCCUGGUCUGGGAAGAUCCCACCUGCCGCGGAGCAACUAGGCCCGUGAGCCACAACUACUGAGCCUGCGCGUCUGGAGCCUGUGUGCCACAAGAGAGGCCGCGACAGUGAGAGGCCCGUGCACCGUGAUGAAGACUGGCCCCUGCUCGCCGCAACUAGAGAAAGCCCUCGCACAGAAACAA